UACGUAGGGACCGAGCGUUGUCCGGAAUCAUUGGGCGUAAAGAGCGUGUAGGCGGUCCGGUAAGUCCGCUGUGAAAGUCGGGGGCUCAACCCUCGAAUGCCGGUGGAUACUGUCGGGCUAGAGUGCGGAAGAGGCGAGUGGAAUUCCUGGUGUAGCGGUGAAAUGCGCAGAUAUCGGGAGGAACACCUAUUGCGAAGGCAGCUCGCUGGGACGUAACUGACGCUGAGACGCGAAGGCGUGGGGAGCAAACAGG
rnacentral:rRNA from 1 species